GAGGCCAUGGUGAAAUUGGUAAACACAACUUGUUCGCAACAGGUUUUUUGUAGGUUCGAAUCCUACUGGCCUCACCA
rnacentral:tRNA from 1 species